rnacentral:rRNA from 1 species
CAGGAUGAACGCUGGCGGCGUGCUUAACACAUGCAAGUCGAACGGACUGAAUGGAGCUUGCUCCAUGAGGUUAGUGGCGGACGGGUGAGUAACGCGUGGGUAACCUGCCCUAUGCAGGGGGAUAACGUUUGGAAACGAACGCUAAUACCGCAUAAACUAAUUGCUUCGCAUGAAGUGAUUGGCAAAGAUUUAUCGGCAUAGGAUGGACCCGCGUUGGAUUAGCUAGUUGGUGAGAUAACAGCCCACCAAGGCAACGAUCCAUAGCCGGCCUGAGAGGGUGAACGGCCACACUGGGACUGAGACACGGCCCAGACUCCUACGGGAGGCAGCAGUGGGGAAUAUUGCACAAUGGGCGCAAGCCUGAUGCAGCGACGCCGCGUGAAGGAUGAAGGUCUUCGGAUUGUAAACUUCUAUCAGCAGGGAGGAACCAAUGACGGUACCUGACUAAGAAGCCCCGGCUAACUACGUGCCAGCCGCGGC